rnacentral:lncRNA from 1 species
GUUGCCCAGGCUGGUCUCAAACUCCCGGGCUCAAGUGAUCUGCCCACCUCAGCCUCCCAAAGUGCUGGGAUUACAGGCGUGAUCCUCCACGCCGGGCCAAGACUGAUUUUUGAGCAGGGGGGCUGCAUUUGGACUCAGACAGGCUGACAACAGAUGACAAUAAAAUCCUGCCCGCCUUGUCUUCAACACCCAACUCAAGGUCUCAUAGUCUUCCUGAAGCCUUCCCAGGCCCCUCAACUGGGAAAAAUUCUCCAUCCUCGGUCUUAGUUUUCUUUUUUGAUACAGGGUCUCACUCUGCCUCCCUGUAGCCUCAACCCUCCCGGCUCAGGCCAUCUGCCCACCUCAACCUCUCAAGCAGCUGGGACUACAGGCAUGCGCCACCACGCCCAGCUAAAUUUUUUUGUUGUUUUUUCGUAAAGACACGGUUUCACCGUGUUUCCCCGGCUCGUCUCAAACUCCUGAGCUCAAGCAAUUCACCUGCCUUGGCCUCCCAAAGUACUGGGAUUAUAGGUGGGCGCCAUAAUUUUAUUUUUCCUAUUGUCUCCUACUGCAGAGAGUUUGUCUAGCCUAUGAGAGUCUACUCAGCAGACCGUGGGUGA